GCUAUAAUGCAGUCGAACGCAAUCUUUAGCCACUGAGUGCUUGCACUCAACAGUUAAAGUGCGAGUGGCGAACGGGUGAGUAACACGUGGGCAAUCUGCCCAAAAGUGGGGGAUAACACUUGGAAACAGGUGCUAAUACCGCAUCAACCGGCUGACCGCAUGGUCGGCCGGGCAAAGACGGCGUCAGCUGUCGCUUUUGGAUGAGCCCGCGGCGUAUUAACUAGUUGGUAAGGUAACGGCUUACCAAGGUGAUGAUACGUAGCCGAACUGAGAGGUUGAUCGGCCACAUUGGGACUGAGACACGGCCCAAACUCCUACGGGAGGCAGCAGUAGGGAAUCUUCCACAAUGGACGCAAGUCUGAUGGAGCAACGCCGCGUGUAUGAAGAAGGUCUUCGGAUCGUAAAAUACUGUUGUCAGAGAGGAACACGUGAUAGAGUAACUGCUAUGGCGCUGACGGUAUCUGACCAGCAAGUCACGGCUAACUACGUGCCAGCAGCCGCGGUAAUACGUAGGUGGCAAGCGUUGUCCGGAUUUAUUGGGCGUAAAGGGAACGCAGGCGGUCUUUUAAGUCUGAUGUGAAAGCCUUCGGCUUAACCGGAGAAGUGCAUUGGAAACUGGAAGACUUGAGUGCAGAAGAGGAGAGUGGAACUCCAUGUGUAGCGGUGAAAUGCGUAGAUAUAUGGAAGAACACCAGUGGCGAAAGCGGCUCUCUGGUCUGUAACUGACGCUGAGGUUCGA
rnacentral:rRNA from 1 species